rnacentral:tRNA from 1 species
GCUCGGUUAGCUCAGUUGGUAGAGCGCUCCACUUGUAAUGGAGAGGUCCCGGGUUCAAUACCCGGACCAGGCG